UACAGAGACUGCAAGCGUUAUUCGGAUUCACUGGGCGUAAAGGGUGCGCAGGUGCCAGGUGUGUUAGGCGUGAAAGCCCGGGGCUUAAACCCCGGAAUUGCACCUAAAAACUCUUGGCUAGAGCAUUGGAGAGGGGAGCAGAAUUCAUGGUGUAGCAGUGAAAUGCGUAGAUAUCAUGAGGAAUACCAGAGGCGAAGGCGGCUCCCUGGACAAUUGCUGACACUCAGGCACGAAAGCGUGGGGAGCAAAAGGG
rnacentral:rRNA from 1 species